rnacentral:rRNA from 1 species
UACGUAGGGUGCAAGCGUUAAUCGGAAUUACUGGGCGUAAAGCGUGCGCAGGCGGUUUUGUAAGUCUGAUGUGAAAUCCCCGGGCUCAACCUGGGAAUGGCAUUGGUGACUGCACGGCUAGAGUGUGUCAGAGGGGGGUAGAAUUCCACGUGUAGCAGUGAAAUGCGUAGAGAUGUGGAGGAACACCGAUGGCGAAGGCAGCCCCCUGGGUCAAGAUUGACGCUCAUGCACGAAAGCGUGGGGAGCAAACAGG